rnacentral:tRNA from 1 species
GCCCCCGUAGCUCAAUGGACAGAGCACCAGUCUUCUAAACUGUUUGUUGAAGGUUCGAUUCCUUCCGGGGGUA